rnacentral:rRNA from 1 species
CGGGAAGAGCCCAACUUGAAAAUCUGGCGGCCUUGUCGCCCGAAUUGUAGUCUAAAGAAGCGUCCUCUGCAGCGGAUCGGGCCCAAGUUCCCUGGAACGGGACGUCAGAGAGGGUGAGAACCCCGUCGACCCCGGAGCCUGCUGCUCCACGAGGCGCUGUCGCAGAGUCGGGUUGUUUGGGAAUGCAGCCCUAAGUGGGUGGUAAAUUCCAUCUAAGGCUAAAUGCAGACGAGAGACCGAUAGUGAACAAGUACCGUGAGG